rnacentral:rRNA from 1 species
AUUGAACGCUGGCGGCAGGCCUAACACAUGCAAGUCGAACGAGUGGCGGACGGGUGAGUAAUGUCUGGGAAACUGCCCGAUGGAGGGGGAUAACUACUGGAAACGGUAGCUAAUACCGCCUACCAUCGGAUGUGCCCAGAUGGGAUUAGCUUGUAGUGGAGGUAACGGCUCACCUAGGCGACGAUCCCUAGCUGGUCUGAGAGGAUGACCAGCCAAACGGGAAAGUGGACACGGUGCAGACUCCUACGGGAGGGAGCAGUGGGGAAUAUUGAAAAAUGGGCGCAAGCGUGAUGCAGCCAUGCCGCGUGUAUGAAGAAGGCCUUCGGGUUGUAAAGUACUUUCAGCGGGGAGGCGUUACCCGCAGAAGAAGCACCGGCUAACUCCGUGCCAGCAGCCGCGGUAAUAC